rnacentral:SRP_RNA from 1 species
UCGCAGGGAGGCGCCAACGCACUGAUGUGCCGGCCAAGCUUCUGCAACAGCC